UGUAUUUUUGGGUACUUAUAAAGUGUCCCUGUCGUUCAUUAAUUCAAUUCAUGGAAUUAGUUUAUUUUUGGAGCACUGAUUUAGUUAGGCCGUACCUUACUCAAUAUAUUUUUAAAUGUUACAAGUUCAGAAAUAAGGGACCUUGUUUUUUUGCAUUUGUGAACUCUGAAUGCUCAAGUCUGGAAAUGAUGCAAAUACAGGAACCUUGCUGAGAAUCAUGGGCCGAAUGGCCUGGAUGGAGGGCCAUGACAUGUGCCAAAUGCCCUGGGUGGAGUGCUAGGACAAGAACCAGGUGCGCCAGAUGGAAACGCAGCACAACAAGAUAUGAACCCUGCUGGGAAUCAUGGGCUGAAUGGCCCGGGUGGAGGGCUAGGACAUGUGCCAAAUGCCCCGGUUGCAGUGCCAGAUGACGUGCUAGAUGUGCUGGAUGGAGACGGAGCAGAACAAGAUAUGAACCCUGGUGGGAAUGGAGUGGCAGGACAAGUGCCAGGUGUUCCGGAUGAACUGCCAGGUGUGCCGGAUGGAGGCGCAGGACAACAAGAUAUGUGAGUUUUCCUAUUUAUGUCAACAUUUUCAGCUACCAUCUAUCGACUUUUAGGAUGCUUAAUCGAGCUGUUAUGCUACCUAGAAUGGCUGACCUUAUCAUGGUUGCGACAAACCAAAUUAUGCUGAAAUCGGAGCACUUCAGAUGUUGCGUAGUAUUUGACAUUCUGUACUAUUUUGAGUAGCAAUGGCCAUUGUUAUUUCCCAUUCCGAUAUCAUUUUUGUUGCCUUUCCCCUGUUGGAUAGUCUAGUAGUAGCAGAUCUGAACCAUGUGAGCUCUUUUGCAGGGACGAGAUCGUUGCCGCUCUUCCAGAUGUCGACUGUUUCUGCAAGGAGGUCUGACCUGACCAGCCAGUGGCGCAAGUAUAAGUGGAUUGGAACGGCGUUCCUCAUUCAAAUGUUGUCGAUUCCCAUUCGAUACAUAUACACUCCAGACAUAGAUUGUUGAUUAGAUGAGUAUACUAAAGACGCAGCAAACUUGAGUACACUAUACUGAUUACUGAAACGCUUCUGUGGUUUCCUCUCAGAUAGAUCAUAUAGACAAAAGGAAGUUUUUGUACAUUGAAGCUCUUUCCUUGGUUGAUUAGGUUUGGGGACAAUCCCCCUGCUGUCAUGACCUGCUGAUGCAUGAUCUAAGAAUCCUUGUAAUUCUACUCUACACACUGAGUUUUUUUGGUAGUUAAUAGCAAAACAGAAACAGUUUGUGUUUGCAUAUGACACCGAGACCUGUGCGUCUCUUUCGGGGAGAGUAAUGAAGAUAUCUGAGUUUCAGUUAGUUCAUUGGGCUUUGCUUACCUGUUUAGUUGUACAUCAUUGUUGUUUUUCUUCGAGAGAGUUGCAUUACCCUGGUGAUAGAAACAAGUGGUGAUUAUUUUGUAACAACCUGAGAUUAGUACAUGCCAGAUUUUAUUUUUUUGAAUUGUUGCACAUCAUUUUUGAACUGCCUUGAGAUUAGUACAUGCCAGAUUUUCUUUUUUUUGAAGUGGGACAAUGCUAGAGCUAAAGCUUCCUUUAGUUGGCACCACCGGAAACAAAAGGCUGCCUUUUUUAGCUCCCAAGCCCCAAACCAAAUAGUGCGUGCGAACUGACACGGCUGAAGCCGGCUAAUUUCAGAUGAUCAAAACACACAUGUGUAUGUUUGUAAACAUUUCGAAGAAGAAUGUCGGGGUACAUAUUGUUGUAUGUAGUAUGAACAUACAAAAUUUGAGCCAAUAUAUGUUGGGUGCUGCUACGCGGCCGGCGGAUAUUUUUAAAAGAUUCACCGUCUCGCGAGUCGUCGGCUUUAAUGGAUUGAGCGACCGAGCGUCACUUUUUAUCAUUGCAAAACAGGCCGUGUUGCGGGAAAUUUCUCAACACGGUUCAUGUUGCAGAAAUUUUUGCAAGAUAUUUUAUUUUUGCAACGAAGGCCUUGUUUUAGUUUUUUUUGGCAACAGAUGUCUUGUUGCAAUUUAGUUUUUUUGUAAGAGAGGUCUCGUUGCAAAUUUAAUUUUCUGCAACAUAGGUCUUGUUGCAGUUUUUGCAACAGAGACCUUGCUGUGAAAACUUAUCGUAGUGGUCAGUAAGCAGCGACCAUGUUGACCGAAAGAAAGAAAGAAAAGGAUAGCUUGGUUAGGACAUGCGCCGGCGAAUGCUCGCGUGCGAUCCGCCGAUAAAAGCCAAGCG